UCCAUAAGGAGAAGGGUCUUGGCUUCUUUCUGUCUGAGAGAAACCAGUUCACCAGAUGGUGAGACAUGGAGAGUGGCAGAGCAACCCUUCUGUGUUCUCUUUGUUGGGGAUCCACCUGCCUGCAGAGGGCACGUGUCAGUUGUAUACAGAUGAGCAGAAAACAGGAAGAAUUAAACACCCACUCUAAGCACUGAGCACACCAAGUUAAGAAAAGCUGUUUUGGAUUCCACACCAGGUAGGAACUGAGAAGCUAAGGAUUAGGCCCAACAAGGAAGAAUAAAGGCAGGAGAAGGGACCUUCAGUCAUAGCUGUUAUCAGCCUUGGGCCGGCUUCACAAGGAAAUUUGAGAGUAACUCAAGCUUUGGUAAACACUCACAUGAAUUGUCCGGAGAUGCCUGGGGAAAGAGAAUGAAAAUGAGAGGAUAAGGAACCUUGGGACAGGAACCCAGACGGAAAUUAUUACAGGAGAGUAAUUAAAAUGCCGUGACAACCCUCUGAAGUUGAAAGAGAACAGUGCACUGGAGUCUAAGGCUUUGUCCUUUUCCGGCUGUAACCAUUGCCUUCCUGUCUCCUUCAUAGACCUCAAUCAUGGAGAUCCGUAAAAAACAGUCAUCACUGA